CGCCCGGCGCCUCGUCUCCCGCCGCUCCCGGCCCCGCGCCGCCCCCGAGGCCGAUGGCGGCGGCCGCGCGGAGGGAGCCGGCUCAGGACAGUGUGACCUUUGGAGACGUUGCAGUGUACUUCUCCUGGGAGGAGUGGAGGCUCCUUGGUGAAGCUUAGAGGCACUUGUACUUCAGUGUGAUGCUGGAGAACUUUGCGCUCAUAUCCUCACUGGGGUUUGCUCCCUUCCUUGACUGACAUUUCCUAGGACCUGCCUGUGCCAGGAAUUGCAGGCAUUGUCAUGAUCACUACUUACCUGGACCAUGGGCUAUUUUUCAAGACUUUUCUAUGAGAACACAAGAUCUACUCUCAGCAGAUUUCCUUGUACAGUACAGUAUGAGUCACUGUAGUCAGCAUGCUGUACGUUAGAUCCUCAGAACUUAUUCAUCUUAUGAAUGAAAUUGUAUCCUUUGACCAACAUCUCCCCAUUUCUCCAGC